GAACAUAAGAGUUUGAUCCUGGCUCAGAUUGAACGCUGGCGGCAUGCUUUACACAUGCAAGUCGGACGGCAGCACGGGGAAGCUUGCUUCUCGGGUGGCGAGUGGCGAACGGGUGAGUAACAUAUCGGAACGUACCGGGUAGCGGGGGAUAACUGAUCGAAAGAUCAGCUAAUACCGCAUACGUCUUGAGAGGGAAAGCAGGGGACCUUCGGGCCUUGCGCUAUCCGAGCGGCCGAUAUCUGAUUAGCUGGUUGGCGGGGUAAAGGCCCACCAAGGCGACGAUCAGUAGCGGGUCUGAGAGGAUGAUCCGCCACACUGGGACUGAGACACGGCCCAGACUCCUACGGGAGGCAGCAGUGGGGAAUUUUGGACAAUGGGCGCAAGCCUGAUCCAGCCAUGCCGCGUGUCUGAAGAAGGCCUUCGGGUUGUAAAGGACUUUUGUCAGGGAAGAAAAGGCCGUUGCCAAUAUCGGCGG
rnacentral:rRNA from 1 species